ACGCACGCUGGCGGCGUGCUUAACACAUGCAAGUCGAACGGAAAGGCCCUGCUUUUGUGGGGUGCUCGAGUGGCGAACGGGUGAGUAACACGUGAGUAACCUGCCCUUGACUUUGGGAUAACUUCAGGAAACUGGGGCUAAUACCGGAUAGGAGCUCCUGCUGCAUGGUGGGGGCUGGAAAGUUUCGGCGGUUGGGGAUGGACUCGCGGCUUAUCAGCUUGUUGGUGGGGUAGUGGCUUACCAAGGCUUUGACGGGUAGCCGGCCUGAGAGGGUGACCGGCCACAUUGGGACUGAGCUACGGCCCAGACUCGAACGGGAGGCAGCAGUGGGGAAUAUUGCACAAUGGGCGGGAGCCUGAUGCAGCAACGCCGCGUGCGGGAUGACGGCCUUCGGGUUGUGAACCGCUUUCGCCUGUGACGAAGCGUGAGUGACGGUAAUGGGUAAAGAAGCACCGGCUAACUACGUG
rnacentral:rRNA from 1 species